UACGAAGGGGGCUAGCGUUGUUCGGAAUCACUGGGCGUAAAGCGCACGUAGGCGGCUCUUUAAGUCAGGGGUGAAAUCCUGGAGCUCAACUCCAGAACUGCCUUUGAUACUGGGAGUCUCGAGUCCGGGAGAGGUGAGUGGAACUGCGAGUGUAGAGGUGAAAUUCGUAGAUAUUCGCAAGAACACCAGUGGCGAAGGCGGCUCACUGGCCCGGUACUGACGCUGAGGUGCGAAAGCGUGGGGAGCAAACAGG
rnacentral:rRNA from 1 species